AUUGAACGCUGGCGGCAGGCUUAACACAUGCAAGUCGAGCGAGAGGCGGACGGGUGAGUAAUGUCUGGGAAACUGCCUGAUGGAGGGGGAUAACUACUGGAAACGGUAGCUAAUACCGCAUACCAUCAGAUGUGCCACGAUGGGAUUAGCUAGUAGGUGGGGUAAUGGCUCACCUAGGCGACGAUCCCUAGCUGGUCUGAGAGGAUGACCAGCAACACUGGAACGGAGACACGGUCCAGACUCCUACGGGAGGCAGCAGUGGGUAAUAUUGAACAAUGGGCGAAAGCCUGAUGCAGCCAUGCCGCGUGUGUGAAGAAGGCCUUCGGGUUGUAAAGUACUUUCAGCGAGGAGGCGUUACCCGCAGAAGAAGCACCGGCUAACUCCGUGCCAGCAGCCGCGGUAAUUC
rnacentral:rRNA from 1 species